rnacentral:rRNA from 1 species
GGCGACCGGCGCACGGGUGCGUAACACGUAUGUAAUCUGCCCAUCACUGGGGGAUAGCCCGGAGAAAUCCGGAUUAAUACCCCAUAAUAUUAGAGGGGGCAUCUCCUUUAUUUGAAAGUUCCGACGGUGAUGGAUGAACAUGCGACUGAUUAGUUUGUUGGUGAGGUAACGGCUCACCAAGGCUACGAUCAGUAGGGGUACUGAGAGGUUAUACCCCCACACUGGUACUGAGACACGGACCAGACUCCUACGGGAGGCAGCAGUAAGGAAUAUUGGACAAUGGCCGCAAGGCUGAUCCAGCCAUGCCGCGUGCAGGAAGACGGACCUAUGGUUUGUAAACUGCUUUUGAACAAGAGAAAACCCCCCUUCGUGAAGGGGGCUGAUAGUAUUGUUAGAAUAAGCAUCGGCUAACUUCGUGCCAGCAGCCGCGGUAAGACGAAGGAUGCAAGCGUUAUCCGGAUUCAUUGGGUUUAAAGGGAGCGUAGGUGGAUUGGUAAGUCAGUGGUGAAAUCUCCAGGCUUAACUUGGAAACUGCCAUUGAUACUGCUGAUCUAGAGUACAGUUGCCGUUGGCGGAAUAUGACAUGUAGUGGUGAAAUACUUAGAUAUGUCAUAGAACACCGAUUGCGAAGGCAGCUAACGAAGCUGUAACUGACACUGAGGCUCGAAAGUGCGGGGAUCAAACAGGAUUAGAUACCCUGGUAGUCCGCACUGUAAACGAUGAUUACUCGUUGCUGGGGAGCAAUUUCCA